rnacentral:rRNA from 1 species
GAUGAACGCUGGCGGCGUGCCUAAUACAUGCAAGUCGGACGGAGCGCUUCGGCGCUCAGUGGCGAACGGGUGAGUAGCACAUGGGCAACCUGCCCUUCAGAGGGGGAUAACAGUUAGAAAUGGCUGCUAAUACCGCAUAAGCGCACAGGGCCGCAUGGCCCGGUGUGAAAAACUCCGGUGGUAUAAGAUGGACCCGCGUCUGAUUAGCUGGUUGGUGGGGUAACGGCCCACCAAGGCGACGAUCAGUAGCCGGCCUGAGAGGGUGAACGGCCACAUUGGGACUGAGACACGGCCCAG